UACGUAGGUGACCAGCGUUGUCCGGAUUUACUGGGCGUAAAGAGCGCGCAGGCGGUCGUUCAAGUCGAGUGUGAAAGCCCCCGGCUCAACUGGGGAGGGUCACUUGAUACUGAUCGACUCGAAGGCAGGAGAGGGAAGCGGGAAUUCCCGGUGUAGUGGUGAAAUGCGUAGAUAUCGGGAGGAACACCAGUGGCGAAGGCGACUACCUGGCCUGUUUCUUGACGCUGAGGCGCGAAAGCUAGGGGAGCAAACGGG
rnacentral:rRNA from 1 species